CCAGACUCCUACGGGAGGCAGCAGUGGGGGAUAUUGCACAAUGGGGGAAACCCUGAUGCAGCGACGCCGCGUGUGGGGAGACGGUCCUCUGGAUUGUAAACCACUGUCCCCAGGGACGAAGAUGACGGUACCUGGGGAGGAAGCUCCGGCUAACUACGUGCCAGCAGCCGCGGUAAUACGUAGGGGGCAAGCGUUAUCCGGAUUUACUGGGUGUAAAGGGAGCGUAGACGGCAGCACAAGUCUGGAGUGAAAUCCCGGGGCUUAACCCCGGAACUGCUUUGGAAACUGUGCGGCUGGAGUGCAGGAGGGGUAAGCGGAAUUCCUAGUGUAGCGGUGAAAUGCGUAGAUAUUAGGAGGAACACCGGUGGCGAAGGCGGCUUACUGGACUGUAACUGACGUUGAGGCUCGAAAGCGUGGGGAGCAAACAGGAUUAGAUACCCCCGUAA
rnacentral:rRNA from 1 species